rnacentral:rRNA from 1 species
UACGGAGGGUGCAAGCGUUUGUCCGGAUUCAUUGGGUUUAAAGGGUGCGCAGGCGGGACAUUAAGUCAGGGGUGAAAGACGGUUGCUCAACAAUCGCAGUGCCUUUGAUACUGGUGUUCUUGGGUGACCUUGAGGUAGGCGGAAUGGGUGGUGUAGCGGUGAAAUGCAUAGAUACCACCCAGAACUUCGAUUGCGAAGGCAGCCUACUGGAGGUUUACCGACGCUCAGGCACGAAAAGCGUGGGGAUCAAACAGG